CCACAGUGACAGGAAACACCACAACUCUGUACAAAAACACUACAUCCACUAGAGGGAGUCACACACUGUUACACCUCAGUGGUUUCUUAUGAUCCAGUUCAGAUUCUUUUUAACUUGAACCUGAACUUUAUAAGAAAGAAUCUCUAAGAAAUUGAUCAGAUGGCCCUGCCCCCUGAAAGCUGACUCAGCCAAUGAGAUGGUUUGUGUCUCCACAGGAAGUAAAAGCAGAAUCAGCUUGAUGGUGAGGAGAAGGUGCAGCAGAGAGGCUGUUUAGAAGAUGAACAUUGUUCAUCUGUUUUCUGUUUGGCUUCAACAUCUCAAAGACAUGAUGUUUUCCCUCUUUCUGUCUUUAUCUUACUUCAUAGCCAUGUGUUCUAUGAACAGCAUCAAGCCAGAAAGUUCUGAAGAAGUUGUACCACAGGGAGGAAACAUCAAGCUGAGCUGUAAAUAUGAGGGGAGUAUCUACAAUAUCCAGUGGUUCCAACAACAGCAGCAGAGAUCCAGACCAGAGUUCCUGCUCCUCAUCACAGAGGACGGAUUCAUCAGCGCAGAGAUUUCUGGUUUCUCUGCUCACAUCAACAAAACAGACAAACGUGUAGAUCUGGAGAUCAUCUCAGCUAAAGUGACAGACUCUGCUGUUUAUUACUGUGCUGUGAGGCCCACAGUGACAGGAAACACCACAAAUCUGUACAAAAACACUACAUCCACCAGAGGGAGUCACACACUGUUACACCUCAGUGUUUGUGAUGAUGUUUCUUUCAUAUGACAGAGAAUCUGAAUCUGUCAAAUAUUUAAUAUCAGUCAUGGAAUCAUUUACAGAAAGUAUUAAAAACAGAUUAUACAAUGUGAUAAAUGUGUCCAUGAACUGGUUGGAAAUAUAACAUUGUAUUGUAAUAUUUUCUGUUCUCUUUUAGUGUUUUUAAUAUUGUUUUCUAAAGCUCUGAUUUCUUAUGGUUUACCUCAGGGUUCAAUCCUGGGCCCUACAAUAUUUUUAUUGGAUGUAAUUCUUCUUAAAACAUCACAUGUGUUGAAGAUACAUCAUCAUGUAUUCCAGUAAGGUCCAGUAAUUAUGAAAGAAGCUUGUUUCGGGUCAAUUCUUCCAACAUUAACGAGUCAAGAACUUCUAUUGUUUUACUCGCCCCUUCAACACAAAUGAUUUAAUUAUCAGCUAAAUAAAGUUGUGAAAUGAUAAACACAG